CGCGGUGCAAAAACGUCCCGAAAUACUUUGGAGGGGAUCCAAGACCGUACCGCUUUAUACAAGCGCGAGUGUUGUGGCAACACCAAACCCUAAGUGGUGGCUAUUGAAAGAACACCAGCUGACACUCUUAUUGGUUCGAUAGCAUUUGGAUUUCGAAGAAAAAAUGCUUACCUACUUAAGAAACCCGAUCAGUCAGGGCUAUGAGUGGUCGUUCUGGCCCGACGCCAAGUUCUACUACCACUACAGGAUAUAUCGGCCCCUCAGCUUCUACGUAGACUGGCCACUGACGGCGAGGGAGAGGUUCCCACAGUACUGGCCAUCGAAUAGGUCCUACAACUACUAUUUGAACGAUUUCCCGUCAGAGGCCGCCUUCAGGGAAAUCAGGCUGAAAAAUGAUCUCUAUUUCGACCAGCGAUAUCCGUAACGAAGACGCUCCAGGUCUUUAAAUAUGUACUUGAAAAGUGAAAUUUACAUAAUCCAUAGUUCAAAAUAUCUUUACUUAAGUAUACAUUGUAAAAAGAUGCUAUACCACAAAAAUAUACCGCAUGACACAAAUAGGUAUUGAAAUAUAAAUGAUGAAGAUCAACAAGAACGCAUUUCACAUCUCUAUAAAAUAUUGUAAAAAUUGAUGUCGGAAUUAUGGAAAUUUUACUUUUCAUUUACAUAGUUGGAAAGUGAUAUUUAUGUUAGGUAUAUUAUUUAUUGAGAUACACAGUUUAUUUUUGUAUAUGUAUAUAUUUUGAUGUUAUUACUGAUUGUUGACUCCAUACUAACGAAUAAUAAAAGUUGUAUAUAAAA